CCCUUGUUCAAACACCCCAAGAUGGCAGGCAAGGUACCAAGAAACUAAAACAUGUGCUCUCAAAGCGUGAAGGGACUGCAAGAGAAACCAGAAAACGGUGUGUCAGCUGCUACAGCAAAAUGAAGGAAGAAAGGGGGGCCAAAGCAGCAAGGACGUACGCAAAACGUGUUUCAACUUACUGCAAAGGGUGCGAUGAGACUCCUACAAUGUGCUUAGAGUGUUUUAACUCCAAGCACUAAACUGAACACCAUUUGUAAUAGGAAAGCUAAUGUUUAAUUAAAAUAUCUUGAGUUUCAAAUUUA
rnacentral:lncRNA from 1 species